rnacentral:tRNA from 1 species
GAGCCGUUGAAAAAAGUGCCCUGUUCCAGCUCUUAAUCAGCGGGCCGUAGGUUCGACCCCUACACGGCCCACCA